ACCUCUUUCAUAUCCCUGAGUCCCUGCGAUGCUGUGACCUUACCUCCUCCUUUCAACCUGUCUUCAGGAUUAGGAUCAAUACCUGCUGCUUGGCUUUUAUUCAAGUGAUGGAUAGCUUUGGAAACUCUUAUCUGGGCUGGUUUGCUGUCUCCAUCUGAUACUUCAAACUGACCUUCAGCCUAGGAGUCUUAAAAAAAAUGUCCAUGUUUUAAGGAAAGAUGGAUGAUCCUCUCUGUUUUAAACAAGAAGGAAAAUCUUUUGAUCAGAAUGGAAGCAAUGGAGGAAUUUGGUUCUGUUUUGUUUCAAGAAGUCUUUAAAAACCUGUGAAUAGGUUAUCCUUCUUUCCUUUAAUUAUGUUUGUGUCCCAAAUUCAGUAAAGAACUGGCUAGGAGAAGAGAAGGCUCAAGAAAUACAGAGACAUCAAGAAAUAGCUGAGAUUUCAUCUAGACACUCAAAUUAGACUCCCACAGUGAAAUUAAAACUUUCCUCAAGGUUGCUCAUCCUUAUAGAUCCUAGGGAGCUUUGUACUUGGGCUUUGAGCUCAAGCGGGAAAAGAUAUGCCACAGAUUUCAUCCAGAAAUGGUCUUUUUCACCCCAUCUCCAGCAGGGAUUAGACCUACGUCUGCUGUUGCUGUGCGGGCUGGUGGACAUGAGGUCAGUAGAGCCAGCAGUGAGAACAAGCCAAUGGUUGGGAAGUGGGGGCAGGUGAGGGCAGACAGGAGCCUGGGAAAAGGAGCUGGAAUCUGCUUCCCUUUCUCUCCGGAACCCACUUCAGCCUCUCAGCACCUUCAAGUGUCCAGUUCCAGCAGAGAACUGGCAUAUGUCACCAGGAAGCCCUCACGCACCUGCCCUGGACUCAGGGAGGCUCAAGGAAGAGGUUCUGUGGAGGCUGGAGGAGCUGUGGGUGGGGCAGAUGCCUCACACCCGAAGAUGAGCUAACAGACUGUCCCCCAACCCCCCAGCAAGCCUGAUCUUAUUACACUGGCAAACUUUAUGUUGUUCUCACUUUCUGCCUCAUUCAUGUAUUUAAGAAAUUGUUCUUGAAGGAAAAGCGAUAGUAGAGAUUGAAUAAAUAAAUGGAAAAGGUACUUGAGACUUACCCA
rnacentral:lncRNA from 1 species